rnacentral:rRNA from 1 species
GGAGGAUGCGAGCGUUAUCCGGAUUUAUUGGGUUUAAAGGGUGCGUAGGCGGACUGUCAAGUCAGCGGUAAAAUACGGGGGCUCAACCUCCGCCCGCCGUUGAAACUGACGGUCUUGAGUGGGCGAGAAGUAUGCGGAAUGCGUGGUGUAGCGGUGAAAUGCAUAGAUAUCACGCAGAACUCCGAUUGCGAAGGCAGCAUACCGGCGCCCAACUGACGCUGAAGCACGAAAGCGUGGGUAUCGAACAGGAUUAGAUACCCUGGUAGUCCACGCAGUAAACGAUGAAUACUAGCUGUCCGGGGCGAAUGAGCCCUGGGUGGCACAGCGAAAGCGUUAAGUAUUCCACCUGGGGAGUACGCCGGCAACGGUGAAACUCAAAGGAAUUGACGGGGGCCCGCACAAGCGGAGGAACAUGUGGUUUAAUUCGAUGAUACGCGAGGAACCUUACCCGGGCUCAAACGACACAGGAACGUACCUGAAAGGGUUCGGCUCUACGGAGCCUGUGUCGAGGUGCUGCAUGGUUGUCGUCAGCUCGUGCCGUGAGGUGUCGGCUUAAGUGCCAUAACGAGCGCAACCCCCAUCGACAGUUGCUAACAGGUCAGGCUGAGGACUCUGUCGAGACUGCCGGCGCAAGCUGCGAGGAAGGCGGGGAUGACGUCAAAUCAGCACGGCCCUUACGUCCGGGGCGACACACGUGUUACAAUGGCAGGUACAGCGGGAAGCCACCUGGCGACAGGGAGCGGAACCCGAAAGCCUGUCUCAGUUCGGAUUGGAGUCUGCAACCCGACUCCAUGAAGCUGGAUUCGCUAGUAAUCGCGCAUCAGCCACGGCGCGGUGAAUACGUUCCCGGGCCUUGUACACACCGCCCGUCAAGCCAUGGAAGCCGGGGGUGCCUGAAGUGCGCUGCCGCGAGGAGCGCCCUAGGGUAAAACCGGUGACUGGGGCUAAGUCGUAACAAGGUAGCCGUACCGGAAGGUGCGGCUG